rnacentral:rRNA from 1 species
CAACUACGUGCCAGCAGCCGCGGUAAGACGUAGGGCGCGAGCGUUGUCCGGAUUUAUUGGGCGUAAAGAGCUCGUAGGCGGCUUGUUGCGUCGUCCGUGAAAACCUGGGGCUCAACUCCAGGCUUGCGGUCGAUACGGGCAGGCUAGAGUUCGGUAGGGGAGACUGGAAUUCCUGGUGUAGCGGUGAAAUGCGCAGAUAUCAGGAGGAACACCGGUGGCGAAGGCGGGUCUCUGGGCCGACACUGACGCUGAGGAGCGAAAGCGUGGGGAGCGAACAGGAUUAGAUACCCUGGUAGUCCACGCUGUAAACGUUGGGCGCUAGGUGUGGGGGGCCUCUCCGGUUUCCUGCGCCGUAGCUAACGCAUUAAGCGCCCCGCCUGGGGAGUACGGCCGCAAGGCUAAAACUCAAAGGAAUUGACGGGGGCCCGCACAAGCGGCGGAGCAUGCGGAUUAAUUCGAUGCGACGCGAAGAACCUUACCUGGGUUUGACAUGGCCGUUAAAGCCGUAGAGAUACGGUGUCCUUCGGGGGCGGU